rnacentral:rRNA from 1 species
AACGUAGGUGGCGAGCGUUAUCCGGAUUUACUGGGCGUAAAGCGUGUGCAGGCGGGGAGACAAGUGGUGUAUGAAAUUUCCCGGCUUAACCGGGAAGGGUUAUGCCAGACUGUCUUUCUGGAGUGCGAGAGAGGGGCGUGGAAUUCCGGGUGUAGUGGUGAAAUGCGUAGAUAUGCGGAGGAACACCGAUGGCGAAGGCAAUCCCCUGGGCCUGCACUGACGCUCAUGCACGAAAGCGUGGGGAGCAAACAGG